UACGUAGGGGGCAAGCGUUGUCCGGAUUUAUUGGGCGUAAAGAGCGUGUAGGCGGCCAGGUAGGUCUGCUGUGAAAACUCGAGGCUUAACCUCGAGAUGUCGGCGGAAACCAUCUGGCUAGAGUCCGGAAGAGGAGAGCGGAAUUCCUGGUGUAGCGGUGAAAUGCGCAGAUAUCAGGAAGAACACCCGUGGCUAAGGCGGCUCUCUAGUACGUGACUGACGCUGAGACGCGAAAGCGUGGGGAGCGAACAGG
rnacentral:rRNA from 1 species